AGCUCCCCAGCCCUAACACUCCCAGCAAUGUGACCGUCACAGAGCUCCCCAGCCCUAACACUCCCAGCAAUGUGACUGUCACAGAGCUCCCCAGCUAUAACACUCCCAGCAAUGUGACCGUCACAGAGCUCCCCAGCCCUAACACUCCCAGCAAUGUGACCGUCACAGAGCUCCCCAGCCCUAACACUCCCAGCAAUGUGACCGUCACAGAGCUCCCCAGCAAUGUGACCGUCACAGAGCUCCCCAGCCCUAACACUCCCAGCAAUGUGACCGUCACAGAGCUCCCCAGCUAUAACACUCCCAGCAAUGUGACUGUCACAGAGCUCCCCAGCCCUAACACUCCCAGCAAUGUGACUGUCACAGAGCUCCCCAGCCCUAACACUCCCAGCAAUGUGACCGUCACAGAGCUCCCCAGCAAUGUGACCGUCACAGAGCUCCCCAGCCAUAACACUCCCAGCAAUGUGACUGUCACAGAGCUCCCCAGCCCUAACACUCCCAGCAAUGUGACUGUCACAGAGCUCCCCAGCCAUAACACUCCCAGCAAUGUGACCGUCACAGAGCUCCCCAGCCCUAACACUCCCAGCAAUGUGACCGUCACAGAGCUCCCCAGCCCUAACACUCCCAGCAAUGUGACUGUCACAGAGCUCCCCAGCUAUAACACUCCCAGCAAUGUGACCGUCACAGAGCUCCCCAGCCCUAACACUCCCAGCAAUGUGACCGUCACAGAGCUCCCCAGCCCUAACACUCCCAGCAAUGUG